GUUUCCUUGUAAGCAGAAACGCCUGUUCUAACCAUGAGCAUGAGCUCGGGAGCCGUUCACUUUCUCGCCAUCCUCUGCUUCUCCAUGGCGGUUCUCAUGGCCAUCGGCUCCAUCGUCGUUGAUGCGUAUUGCGAGUCACCAAACGCACCAGGACCUCAUGAAGGUGGAAGCUGCACUCCAGCGGCUGGAUAAGGCCUAUGUGGAUGUGUUGGAGAUGAACUCAGACAAACUUAUUAGAUGAUGGUUUGAGUGUCCUUCAUGAUUUAAAUAAGGUUGUUUAAUUACCAUGCUUAAUGUCUAGUAUGAGCUAGUACAGUAGUCAUGUAAGAUGAGCAGUAGGGGCCGCGCUUUACAAGGCCCAUCCACUUCUGUCUGCUUUU